AUCUUUUCAGUCGAGAGCAAUCGCGAAGUUAGCUACGGAUUUUGCGUAAAAAUUGUACAUUUUUCAGUUCAAUUUGUUUAGAAAAUAGUGAAAUUGUACGCAUUAAGUACCGAAGCUGCUUUUUCGUUGGUUUUUAUAAGCAAGAAUAUGUGGUGAAUCAGUGAUUUCUUCAAAUAUCCGGUUGAUGGUGAUCGGAAAAAGCUGCAGCGAAAAUCUCUGCGUAUGUGUGUAUGUGAGACAGUGUGAGACCAGCGUCAUAACGGCAGAAGCAAUACGAGCUACUCUCCAAUGAUUGUCAAAUUCACGUUUGCUUGGUAGGACUUUUCCCCGUUGUUUAUUCGGUUGCUACCGGUCUCCAAGUUUGUUUCCAAGUAAAGUAUUACGUCGGUGCGAGUUUUGAUAAAGGUAUUUUUAUCGUUUGCCCUGGUAGCUACGUGUCGCGUUAGUGGAGGAAGUGUAAACAAGGCGGCAUGUCUUACCCAACAAGGCCUCCACCGGCGAUUGUACCGGGAGGGUUGCCUUUUGCCAUGGCUCCACCAAUAAUGCCUCCUAUUAUACCGGGUGGGAUGCCACCGAUGAGCCAACCUCCACCGGGAGGACGACCCGCUUUUCGAGGACCGCCACCCUCAAUUGGAUCUCGUCCACAAAUGUAUAACAACGUGAAUAAUCAGCACGACAAACCACUACGGACGGGCGGCGUGCAAGUUCCGAAUCCUGCCCCGACGUACGAUGGACCGGUUAUUACCGUUUUCAUCGGGAACAUCAGCGAUAAAGCUCCGGAUCCGAUGAUAAAAAAAAUUCUUGCUUCCUGUGGAACGGUUAUCAAUUGGAAGCGAGUGUCUACUUUUGGGUUUUGCGAGUAUGAUGGAGCAGUGGCAGGAGCCCGUGCAGUUCGGUUGCUACACGAUCUGGAAAUUGAUGGCAAAAAGUUGGUCGCCAAGGUAGAUGCUAAGAACAAAGCUCUGCUGGAUGAUUACAAAGGGGAUGAAACUGGAAAAGGCGAUGAGAAACUCGAACGAAGGUGUGAUGACGAGUCGGUCGAUCUGAUUACGAGAAUUCUGGAGGAAUUCCGAGAAGAUUUGUACGGUGAUGAUCCACCCGAGGAUGAGGGUACUCUCUCCAAACCCAAAAAACAACUACAGUCAGUGCAUAUUGAGGAAGGUAAGAGGGAAAUUAUUAGUCAGGAAAUUGGAAAAUUUCGGAAGUACACUGAAGCUGAAGAACUAAAAAAAGAAAAGGAGAAAGAGCGGAAGAAGGCUCGUGAAGAUAAGAAGUCUGAAGGAGAAAAAAGGAAGUCUGUCUCUCCGAAAAAGGAAAAGGAAAAGGAUAAGAAGUCUAGAAGGAGAAGUCGCUCGCGUUCUAGGGAUCGUGAACGGGAACGUGAGCGCGAACGGGAACGCGAGAAAGAAAGGGAACGGGAACGAGAGAGAGAGCGUGAAAACCGUGAAAGAAUAGAAAGGGAAACUCGGGAAAGGGAAGCACGGGACCGUGAACGGGAACGGGAAAGGGAGAGAGAAAGGGAGCGAGAGCGUGAGCUGCAAAGCCGCAAUCCGCGGGACAUCCAAAAGGAAAAGGAAAUGGAAGAGGAAGCUCGUGAUCGAAGGAAGGCCGAGAAGAAAGCUAAGGAGAAGGAAGCUGCCUACCAGGAAAGAUUACGCAACUGGGAGGCUCGUGAAAGACGGAAGACAAAGGACUACGAGAAAGAACGUGAGAAGGAACGUUGCAAAGAAGAGGAAAGGGAGAGGGAGGCGAAACGUUUGAAGGAAUUCCUUGAGGAUUACGACGAUGAAAGGGACGAUCCAAAAUAUUACAAGGGUCGCGAAUUACAGCGGCGGUUAGCGGAACGCGUCCGUGAAGCUGAUCAAGAUUCGAAGGAUCGUAACAAGGAGCAGGAGGAGCUUGAUGAGCUUAAAAAUAAGAUAUUCUCCGGAGAGUACGAUAAUCCUACACUAGAAUUUGAAAAGGCAAAAAAACAACGUGAGGAUAUGUACCGACCCAAGAUUCUGAUUGACGUAAACUUAGAGCAGUCACAACAGCGCGAGCGCGAAUUAGAACGAGAACGACAGCGCGAGCUGGAGAGAUUACGUGACAAGGAGCGUGUGCGAGCAAACAAGGAGCGAUAUGUUCUUGCCCAGGCCUCCCGUGAACUGGCAGCAAUCGAUGCUGAGCCAAUCGAAUCCGAUUCCAGUGGGCACGAUGAUAAUAACCUUGGAUCACCAGAUAUGGAACUUGCUGUUAAUAAUAAUAACCAUCACGUUGGAAACAACGUUAUGCUUCAUCAUCCGCAGCAUGCUGGGUCUGAAACGCGAGAUUCCUUCGGGUUCGGUUCUGCCCCUGCAGCCAUGGUAGGUAGCGGUUUGAUGGGCAUCGAAGACGACAGUUCACGCCACUCGAUGCGAUCGAAUUCGAAUACUAUGGUUAUGCACAGUCCAGGGGCGAACAGCAACAGCGGAAUGAAUUCUCUUCCGGAAAAACCACAGCCAAUCGCUCCUACCAUUAGCCUCAGCUUGAAUGCGAAUGCUAAGAAAAAGAAGUUGGAAAUGAAGGACGUGUUUAAUAGCAUGGAAGACGAUGGCGAAGAAUCGAAUGGACCUAAGAAGCGAAAGCUGGUUCCGUUGGACGAAGAGAAUAAAGCCCAAAUGGCUGCCCAGGCCAUUGCUCAAACUGGUUCAUCGCAGCAUACGAACUCCAAGAGUUCUUCCAAGAGCAAAGGUGCGGAGGACGCUUCCGGUACCAGUGGCGGCCGAUCCAGUCGAGAUACCAUCAAAUCACAGGAAGAGAAACGACGACAUAUUAAGAGUAUUAUCGAUAAGAUUCCUACGGAGAAGAAAGACUUGUUCAACUAUCCGCUUGAUUGGAAUGAAAUCGAUGCCACGAUCGAAAAGAAGAUUCGUCCGUGGAUUAACAAAAAGAUUAUUGAAUAUAUCGGUGAACCGGAACCAACGCUAGUUGAUUUCAUUUGUUCGAAAGUGCUGGCUGGAAGUACACCGCAAGGAAUUUUAGAUGAUGUUAUGAUGGUUUUGGACGAAGAAGCUGAGGUGUUUGUGGUUAAGAUGUGGCGCUUACUAAUCUAUGAAGUCGAGGCAAAAAAAGUUGGACUCACGAAGUAGAGCGGCAAGAUGCGUGGGAAUCACAGAUAUUGCCGUCUGAUAUCGCUGCCGAGAGGCCAGGCCACGGGUCUACUGAACCAUCGGAGUCACCACGCGCUUGCAUCGAACGCCGUCGUACACGAUAAUGAGUGAUAUCGCAACACAAACACAAACAACAAAGUCAGCAAUAGCAUUGCUCUAAUGUGGUUGCUUUUUCGCUCUCGGUUCUGUCGUCGACCCGUUCCGUCAUAAGCUCGAUAAGCUCGCACUGGUACCUUUCGAGUCGAUACAGGCUUAUUGCUUCGAAGGCAAUCCGGCCACCACUGGCGGCUGUCAUCUUCGUGCAGUUUGUUUUGAAACCGGUGAACCGUACACCUAACUGAUAAUGGGAUUAUCGGUACGCCUGAUGGGGUGCUGCUCGGGAUACGUUAUGUUACACUAUUUCUCCUUCUCUCAGUUUCGCUGUAAUAGCUGUUAUAUGAAGUAUCGAUAAGAACCUCCUGUUGAUAUAAAUACAAACAAGCUAAAAAUAUACGCACCUAUAUAAAACACC